rnacentral:rRNA from 1 species
CCUACGGGAGGCAGCAGUGGGGAAUAUUGCACAAUGGGCGAAAGCCUGAUGCAGCAACGCCGCGUGAGCGAUGAAGGCCUUCGGGUCGUAAAGCUCUGUCAUCAAGGAAGAUAAUGACGGCACGUGAGGAGGAAGCCGCGGCCAACUACGUGCCAGCAGCCGCGGUCAUACGUAGGGGGGUAGCGUUAUCCGGAAUUAAUGGGGGAAAAGGGUGCGUAGGUGGUUUCUUAAGUCAGAGGUGAAAGGCUACGGCUCAACCGUAGUAAGCCUUUGAAACUGGGGAACGUGAGUGCAGGAGAGGAGAGUGGAAUUCCUAGUGUAGCGGUGAAAUGCGUAGAUAUUAGGAGGAACACCAGUUGCGAAGGCGGCUCUCUGGACUGUAACUGACACUGAGGCACGAAAGCGUGGGGAGCAAACAGGAUUAGAUACCCCAGUAGUC